UAUAAAAAACACACUAUUUCACUCUCUUGACAUAAGCAUGAGGACUUCCCCUAUUGGUCUAAUGUUGCACAGCUGAUGUAAUAAUCAUCACAGCAGGUUCCCUGAUGCAGGACUUCUUCUAACCUACCUCUGCAUUUGGCAUUCUCUAGACUACUUCCAGGGUCAGCUGCGUCAGCUUCUAAAAUAGUCUGCCACCUCCCAGACUGAAAAUCUGACAUCUGGGAAGCAAUAUGUUAGAGUUUGAUUUGUGGAGCCAGGAAUUCUCCCAACUCUGUGCGUGUGACUUGUACAAAAGUCCCGACCAAAGAGAUCCUUCAUCAUCAGCGACCCCUUGAUCUGAGGAUGAUGAUCUACUCAGGGCCAUGAAUUUCUGCUGUGGCUCUUCCUGUGACUGGUCAAGUUGAUUCCUGAUUCUGAGAUUUUGAGGUUGCACAUGGGAUCUGUGCCAUUACUUACCUUGGGUGAAAUGCCAGGAUAUCAAACCUCAGUGUGGCAGGUUCUGAGGUGCUAGAAGUUGCGUCAGUUCCUCAGCCUGGCUCCAUUUGAACCAUCAUCUCACUGAGCUUGUUACCUUCAGUCUUCUCUGCUGAGUCAUCAUUCUCGUAGAGGCUUCAACAGUACAACCAGAGAGGAGACCUUCCAGCUGCCAUUCAGCCCACUAUCAUGCCUACUCCAUUCAGGUAAAUGGAAUGGUAAAUGCCAUCCUUUUUCGAUAGGAGUUUGUUCAGCCAACCUGUAACUAGAAAGAAACACUUGAAUCCACAUCAUGCGUUUGAAGACCACUGGAUGUCUCAAAAUAUUUUACAGUAAAUGAAGUACAUCUAAUUUUCACAACAAAGAGAUAAUGAUUAUGUCCAGAAAAUCUAUUUCUGCAAUGAUUGAUUAUCAACCAGGACACCAGUGACAACAUCUUUUCCUCAAGAUAGUGCCAUGAGAUUGUUUCCACACUCCUCAAUAAACAGAUUUUUCAGCAUCUGCAGAUUUUGUGACAGAGGAGGGUCAACAGCUAUACAUGAUUGUUCCACAAAUAAAUCCUAUAAAAUGCCCAAGAAGGCACUAAAUGUGGACAGCAACAACAAAUUUGAGAGGUAACGAGACAACAUUUGAGAAGGAAAGUACAGUCGGUUUUGAGAUAGCAUAAUGCACUAUUUUUCGAACUAUGGAGUUGGUCAAAGGGUCUGCAUUUGUUUCUUCUGGGUCUGUACAUUUGUAACUUAUUAUGUUAAUUUGUAAAAAGCUUCACUCAAGGAAGCCUUAUAUCAAUCUGUUGCCAAUAAGUUCCAUUCCAUAAAAAUGACAACCAGCUAAAGAACCCAAUGUUGUUUUUAAAUACUAAAAUAUAAAUCAUACUUUUUAAAAUAGACCCCAAAUGUAAUACAUACUUAAGUCCCAAAUAUUUACCUUCCAAACGAUUGCCAAGAUGUAUGAGUGCUCCUGUCUGUGGCAACACCUCCUGGAAGUAUUUAAAUUAUAAAAUAUAAUGCGGACAGUAAUUCCUCUAGCACUCCAAAUUGACAACUAGCUAUUUUUUUCUUUCCACUCCCUGUUGGUGGGUAACAUGACCUAAUGGAUAACGUGUCUGACUUCAAUGUUAAUCAGGAUGCUAUCAGAUGAUUGCAGGUUGGAGUCCUGAUGCGAUUUCUUCACAGUGAUAAAUCUGUUGUGACUUUUACAACUUGGUGGGAUGAAGAAAGGUGUAGACUAUUUUCUGAAUGGGGAAAAGCUUUGGAAGUCAGAAGCACAAAGGGAUUUAGGAGUCCGAGUUCAGGUUUAAGAUUAAGCUGUAGAUUCAGUUCGGAGUUAAGAAGGCAAAUGCAAUAUUAACAUUCAUUUCAAGGGGGCUAGAAUACAAGAUCAGUGAUGUACCACUGAGACUGCAUAAUACUAUAGUCAGACCACAUUUGGGAUUUUGUGAGCAGUUUUGGGUCCCGUAUCCAAGGAAGGACAUGAUGGCAUUGGAAGGGGUUUCUAAGAAUGAGCCCGGGGAUUAAGGCCUUGUCAUUUGAGCCUCAGAGUGAAGGGAUGACCCUUAGAACUGAGAUGAUGAGGAGUUUCUUCAUCCAGAGGGUGAUUAAUCUGUGCAACUUAUUGCCAUAGAAGGCUUGGAGGCCAAGAGAUUGAGCGUAUUUAAGACAGAGAUAGACAGGUUCUUAAUUAGUGGGGGUUUCAAAGUUUCAGGAAGAAGGCAGGAGAAUGAGGUUGAGCAACUUAUCAGUUGUGAUCAAACGGCAGUGCAGAUUCUAUGGGCUGAUUGGCCUAAUUCUGCUCCUAUAUCUGGGUCUAGGCCCGAAACAUUAGCCUUCCAGCUCCCAUGAUGCUGCUUGGCCUGCUGUGUUCAUCCAGCUCUAUACCUUGUUAUCUCGGAUUCUCCAGUAUCUGCAGUUCCUAUUAUCUCCUGUAUCUAUGGUCUUCGAUUUCUGAAGUAUUGAGGUGAGCUGUAGCACUUAAACACAGGGAACGCUGGAGGUCAAAUCCAACAGUUUUCUGACCUGUAUUGCACUGCUAUUUAUCAGUAAACCUCCAAUCACAGAGAAGCAUUUGGCUCUAUUUCAAAAUUAUUGUUAUUUUUCUCCUUUUACAUCUUUAAUCUUAUUAUGUCCCCUGUUCUCACCUUCUUUGCAACUGACAACCUACAAUGGUUUCCAGUCUAGCAAUAACUCAAAUCUAAAAUUCUCACCCAUGUAAUCAUUUUUCUCUGUGGCCUCACUCUUGUCUAUCGUUGUAACUUUCCCCGGUCUUCAGCUUUCUGCACCCAUUCGAUCCUGACUCCAGGUUCAUCUACAGUUUCCCGUGAACCACUCUUGGACCUUGUGCAUUCAACAAUGGGAAUUUCAGGCCUGCUAAACCUCUUCAGUUCCUCUUUCCCUAUGCCGGUGAUUUGUGUGCACUUCCUCUGUGUGUCAAGUGCUUGAACUCCAGCGUACCUUUCUUUUAAAUCAUUUAAUGAAAUGGAAUAUGCAAUGAACGUGAAGCAUUAUUGCACACUUCACCACAUUGUUGAAGGAAAAGCUGCUCUGGCAUGCUGAAUAUUGGCCAAAAAUGUUGGCAGAGCAAGAUGGUAGCGGCCUGGUGCAGGAAUGGAGGCAGCUAGUCAGUGACCAGGCCACAUGGUGGCCCCCUCCACACUGGUCUGCCACAGAGACACUUUGGACAGAGACUGUGGUGUUUGUCUUUUUAAUUUUGCUUCUUGCUUAUUUCUGAUCUAUGAUUAAACUGUGUAUAGCUGUAAGGUAACAUUUUUUCUUCAUUUCUCUAUUCUGUACCUAUGUUGGCACUGUAAGU